UGGCAGGACGGGCUAAGGGCACUUCUACCGAACAUUAACAUCAACUUUGGUGGACUGCCCAAUGCUUCUUCCCCCUCCAACGCCAACCACAGUGUACCAACGUCCAACACUGCCACCACCGACAGCCUGAAUUGGGACAGCCCUGGCAGCUGGAUGGACCCCGCAAUCAUAACAGGUAUCCCAGCCUCCACAGGAAACAGUUUAGACGCCCUUCAAGAUGACAAUCCUCCACAUUGGCUAAAAUCUCUUCAGGCCCUCACAGAGGUGGACGGCCCCAGUGCAGCGCCAUCACAGACGCACCACAGUAACCCCUUCGGCACACAGAUCCCUCUGCACAGAGCCAGUUGGAAUCCCUACUCUCCUCCUUCAAACCCCACCAGCUUCCAUUCCCCACCCCCAGGCUUUCAGACAGCCUUCAGACCCCCCAGUAAAACCCCCACAGAUCUACUACAGAGCUCAGCGCUGGAUCGUCAUUAGGAAAGGAGGAAAAAGAAAAAGAAAAAAAGAAAAAUAAAACCCAAAACGUUAGAAAUGCAGGAAGUGUCCCACCCUGACUCCUCCCCAUGCCCACCUACUGUUCCCUGUCAUAUCUUUCUUUCUGAAGAAUCCAGUUCCUGAUCAAACCUCCCCCCCAAAAUGCAAUGCCAUCACAGGGUCAUGACCGUAUCUUUUCGUUAAGUUUCUGCUGAGCCAGUGUUUGAAAUACACUGAAAUAUUUUCUAACCAUUCUAAGG